CAGUUCAGUGAAUAAGUCUGUGUUGCUCGCCUCUGUUCCCAGAUUGCUACCUGAGUUGCUUCAACACAUUCCUUUCCCACUCACUUGUCUCCAGCCCACAUUUCGGGGUUCCCCUCCUCCAGGCAGGCAGCCCAGGGCCUGCUGCAAGGGGAGGUGGCCCCUCUCCGUUCUUUGUGAGGGCUGGAUGCCUGUGCCUCUCGCAGCCUGGAUGGGCACCCUGCCCUGUAUACUCCUUGGGGACAGCCUCCCUCUGCCAGUUGUCACACAGCAGACAGCCCAACAGGCUUCCUCUCAUGUAACAACAUGUAAUAUCAUGUAGCAUCAGCAUGUAGCCGUGCACAUAAUACUAUGUAACAUCAGCCUGUAACAGUGCAUGUAAGAUGAUGUAACAUUAUGUAACAUCAGCAUGGAACAUUGUAUGUAAUGUUGCAUAUAACUGCAUGUACCAUCACAUAUAACAGCAUGUGACAUUAUAUAUAACAGCAUGUAACAUCAGCCUUCUCCCCAUAUUUCUUAACAGCCACCAUUCCAGUGUUUCCCCAGUUCUGUCCGUACAUGACUAGCCAGUUCCUGCCAUUCAUUUGCAGCCUACACAGUCCUAAUGCUACUGAAAUCAUUCUCUUCCAGCCCUGCAACAGGACAGAGGAGAUGUUCAUAAGAAAUGCUUGCAUAGCAGCAUCCCAGCAUCCCCAUGAAGCCCUUCCUUUUCUGAGCCAAAGUCUCAGAAGUCAUGUUCCUCCCGGAGAGACACCCGCCAUUGAGUUCCCAGUCUUGCCUCGUGUGUGUCCACUUCUGGUCCUCACACAUAUUCCUUCCUCCACCACGAUCUGGGAGACCACAGGGCAUCGCAGUUCCUUGCACAGCCGUAGAGGCAGGCAAUCUGGGUCUGAAUCCUGGACUUUUGCGGUUAGAGCUAAGCGACUUGGGGCAAACCUCUCUAAGCAUCCCAUUCUUAUCUGUAAAGUAGGGAUAAGAGUCAUGCCUUAUGAUUCAAAAUACAUGAUUUUUUGGAGACUGGGUGCGGCGGCUCAUGCCUGUAAUCCCAACACUUUGGGAGACCGAGGCAGGCAGAUCACCUGAGGUCAGGAGUUCAAGACCAGCCUGGCCAACAUAGUGAAACCCUGUCUCUACUAAAAAUACAAAAAUUGGUUGGGCGCAGUGGCUCAUGCCUGUAAUCCCAGCACUUUGGGAGGCUGAGGCGGGCAGAUUACAAGGUCAGGAGUUUGAGACCAGCCUGACCAAUAUGGUGAAACCCCGUCUCUAAUAAAAAUACAAAAAUUAGCCAGGUGUGGUAGUGGGCACCUGUAGUCUCAACUACUCAGGAGGCUGAGGCAGGAGAAUUGCUGAACCCAGGAGGUGGAGGUUGCAGUGAGCCAAGAUAGCUCCACUGCACUCCAGCCUGGGCUACAAAGCAAGGCUCUCACACACACACACA
rnacentral:lncRNA from 1 species